rnacentral:rRNA from 1 species
ACAGCAGUAGCCGCGGUAAUACAGAGGGUGCGAGCGUUAAUCGGAUUUACUGGGCGUAAAGCGUGCGUAGGCGGCUUUUUAAGUCGGAUGUGAAAUCCCUGAGCUUAACUUAGGAAUUGCAUUCGAUACUGGGAAGCUAGAGUAUGGGAGAGGAUGGUAGAAUUCCAGGUGUAGCGGUGAAAUGCGUAGAGAUCUGGAGGAAUACCGAUGGCGAAGGCAGCCAUCUGGCCUAAUACUGACGCUGAGGUACGAAAGCAUGGGGAGCAAACAGGAUUAGAGACCCCUGUAGUCCCUGUCUCUUAUAC